rnacentral:rRNA from 1 species
CUCCUGACUGACCGAUAGUGAACCAGUACCGUGAGGGAAAGGCGAAAAGAACCCCGGCGAGGGGAGUGAAAAAGAACCUGAAACCGUGUACGUACAAGCAGUGGGAGCCUCUUUUAUGGGGUGACUGCGUACCUUUUGUAUAAUGGGUCAGCGACUUAUAUUCUGUAGCAAGGUUAACCGAAUAGGGGAGCCGAAGGGAAACCGAGUCUUAACCGGGCGUUAAGUUGCAGGGUAUAGACCCGAAACCCGGUGAUCUAGCCAUGGGCAGGUUGAAGGUUGGGUAACACUAACUGGAGGACCGAACCGACUAAUGUUGAAAAAUUAGCGGAUGACUUGUGGCUGGGGGUGAAAGGCCAAUCAAACCGGGAGAUAGCUGGUUCUCCCCGAAAGCUAUUUAGGUAGCGCCUCGUGAAUUCAUCUCCGGGGGUAGAGCACUGUUUCGGCAAGGGGGUCAUCCCGACUUACCAACCCGAUGCAAACUGCGAAUACCGGAGAAUGUUAUCACGGGAGACACACGGCGGGUGCUAACGUCCGUCGUGAAGAGGGAAACAACCCAGACCGCCAGCUAAGGUCCCAAAGUCAUGGUUAAGUGGGAAACGAUGUGGGAAGGCCCAGACAGCCAGGAUGUUGGCUUAGAAGCAGCCAUCAUUUAAAGAAAGCGUAAUAGCUCACUGGUCGAGUCGGCCUGCGCGGAAGAUGUAACGGGGCUAAACCAUGCACCGAAGCUGCGGCAGCGACACUGUGUGUUGUUGGGUAGGGGAGCGU